GCCCACCGCGACUGCUGCGGCCGCGACCACGACGCCGCCGGCCCGGCCACUUGUGACUGUCGCCUGUCGCCAUCCGUGCGGACUACAGACAGACGCCAGCAGACGCCUCUUCGCGCGAGACCGGGUCCCUUUUGUUCCUCGCGAUGACUCUCCAAGCCAUCAAGUGGGCCGGAGGCCGCCUGGAGAUCCUGGACCAGCUGCUGCUCCCCCACGAGUCCAAGUACAUCCCUGUCAACGGCGUGGAGGACGGCUGGAAAGCGAUAAACGCGAUGCAGGUCAGAGGAGCUCCAGCUAUUGCCAUCGUGGGAAGCCUCAGCUUGGCAGUUGAGCUUCUUGGUACCACAUUUAAUGACAAGACUGUAUUGCGUCAGGAUGUAGAAGGAAAGUUGAAUUAUUUGUGUUCUGCUCGACCGACUGCCGUUAAUAUGAAGAUUGCAGCGGAAGAAUUGACCCUUGAAGCCAAUCGAUUGAGCAGCGAUGACUCAAUUUCAGAUGCAGAGGAAAUGAAGAAACAAUUGUGUUUAAAGAUAGAGGCAAUGCUGGAGAAAGAUUUAAACGAUAACAGAAAUAUUGGUGAAUUUGGGGCUCUGUCUUUUCUGACACGAGCUGGUGUAAAUGGAAAAGUACGAGUUCUUACUCAUUGCAACACGGGAUCACUUGCCACUGCUGGUUAUGGAACUGCGCUGGGUGUCAUCCGUUCUCUAUUCCAUCAAGGCAAACUGGAACAUGCAUAUUGUACGGAAACUCGUCCUUACAACCAAGGUGCUCGACUCACUGCUUAUGAAUUGGUGCAUGAAAGGAUUCCCUCCACUAUGGUGUGUGAUAGUGCUGUAUCUGCACUUAUGAAGUCGACUACAAUUCAUGGUGUUGUAGUCGGAGCUGAUCGAAUUGCAGCAAAUGGUGAUACAGCCAACAAAAUAGGAACAUAUCAGAUUGCAGUGGUUGCAAAGCACCAUGGUGUUCCAUUUUAUGUUGCCGCUCCUCUUACUUCCAUUGAUUUGGAUACUCCCAAUGGUGAUCGCAUUGUUAUUGAAGAAAGACCCGCUGUAGAAAUGACUCAUGUUGGUGGACAGCAAAUAGCAGCCUCAGGCAUCCACUGUUGGAAUCCAGCUUUUGAUGUUACUCCUGCAGAGCUCAUCACUGCCAUCAUCACAGAACACGGGGCAUUUACUCCAGGAGAGCUUGCUGAUAAGAUCACACCACUAAAGAAGAGUCUCUGAAAGUUUGAUAAGCAGUGCAUUGCCGUUUGUUUGAAAGGAGAUGGGCAGAAUGCUGUUUCUUAGUCUUUAAAAAGGCUUAAUACUUCUUCACUUGAACAUCCUUCAUGAGGCGGCAGUGGGUGCAGAUGCUACAGGAGGAUUUGUUUUACUUUCUUUCAGUUUAAAUUUUCUGUCCGAGUACAGUAUUAUGGUCUUUUUUAAAAAAUCAGAUCUAUAUGGAAAAUACACCUACUUUACUCAG